UAUGGAAUUCAAUGAAUAUCCAUGCAUUUUUUUUUAGGAAAUUUAUCAAAAAUGACUUAAAAAUAUAAACUAUAUGUUGAUAGGUUUUUUAGCCAACUGACGCGGAGUCAAAAUAAUUAAUUCGAGAGUUUUCACUAGACCAGUCAAUGAACAUUAAAUGAGCCAAGAACCUAGUAAUGAUGAACAAUAAAUAAUAAAGAAUACCGAGAUUUAUAGAGGUUCGACCCCAAGGAUUGGUAAUGACCUACUUUCUCUUGGAUUUGUAUUAAUCUUGAAGGUUUACACAAGAUCACAAUGGAUUACAAGUGGAUUUCUAUGUGUAAAAGACAAUACAAUAAGGUAGAAUCGCUAGUAGGUAUGAAAAUAAAGCUGCCCGGAAUGUAUCUAAAUACUAGCCGGUAGACGAGUUUAUGAACCCUCUCCACUGUAGUGGAGGGCUUGUAUUUGUAAUGCUCUGUUGGCCUAGGGGCUGCACACGACGUAACUGAUGGUGGAAAUAUCUCAUUCUUCUCGCAGGUAGUUACAUUUCUAUUUGUUAGGAAGCUUGACCAGGUUUUCAGGGCUGUUAGGCUUCCUCUGUGGGUGGUUAGGAGAUUCUUGUGGACUUCUAACGGAGAGUGUAACUUCUUUUCGGCGACCAGGUUUGGCUGUCCAUCAUACCGAGCAACUGAGCCUUUGGUGAUAGUAUGUCGAGCAAUAACUUGACGUAUACCCCGCAGGUAUACAUCGAUCAGGCUGUCGGGGGGGUCUACCCAGUCUGCUCCACGUGUCCAAGCUUAGUGCCACAUCAGAUAUGUCAAUUUUUUGGAUAACACUUGCCCCCCAAGUUUGCAAUGGUGCUAAGCAGCAUGUAAACUUUUUUCUGGGGACCACCACGUCCAGCCUGGUUAGGGGUAUAUGCUCCUUGCUACGUGGCAUAGCGUCUGAUACAAUUAAUAGCCUUAGUAUUUCUUUAAGUUUCCAAUAAAUGACUUUUCACUCUUUCCUGCCUAUUUUUGGAGCCAUAAAGCAUCAUGAUGACCUCUCUUAAAAAUUGUACCGACAGUUGUGCAAUUACCAAAGAGUGGGCGUGUGUGUGGAGACGUGCCUGCAGCGGUUUAGGAGACGUGAGUGGAGGGACGUGUGUGUGGGCGUGCUGACGUGUCUUGAGAGAUGUGCCUGCAGCGAUUGAGGGGACUACUGAGUGGGAAGAUUCAUUAAAUUUCUGUAGGGCGAAGCUCACUUCUUUUUGCCUAUAACUAGGGGUGCCCAACCCUUUCUUCUAUUUUCACCUUCUUCUUUACAUCACACAAACCAGAGCCAACCUAAGAAACCCUAAAUCUCCUCCUCCCAAUUUUUCUGAAAGAGCUAGUCCAUGCUUCGACUUCUAUGUCACACCACCCUCACACUACGAAUACGCUUCUGGCGCCAUACUCCUGCAGCAAGUUGGUGUGAUGAAUCAUGAGAAAAAAAAUACAAAAAGAAGCUAAAUGGUGGGAAAACGAGGCUUUUGGCGGUUAUUGGACUAAAAAUGAUAUCAAGGAUGCUUCAAGGACAGGUUUUGAUGAAGAGAUGAGCUUAAGGAUCAAAUCUGAGAAAAAUUUAAUUAAAGUCGCGACUUGAGGGGAAGUCAACGACGUAUAUGUUUCUGGAAAGAUUUAGUGUCGCGACUUGGGCAUACAAGUCGCGACUCAAGAGGAAACAGAGGCUAAGCUCAGGAGUAAAAGUAGACACGGGCCGCGACUUGCCUAAGCUGAGUCGUGGCGCCUGAAGCCAAUAUACGAGAAGAAAAGGGCUAGAAAUAGACAUGGGCCGCGACCCAGAAAAUGCCAAUUCGCGGCCGCACAAGGAAAAAUUCAGAAACUUGUAUUGUUUUUUACUAUAAAUUCGUGUUUAAGGUUUAAUUAAGUCAUUAGGUCAGUUUUUAAUUACGUUUUUUAGAGACUAAUAGUAGAUUUUAGGUUAAAUAUUCUGCAGUUUCAUAUUUUUAUUUCUUUUUCAACUUUAUGAAUUUUAUGUUUAUGAAUAAUUAUUUGGUUUAUUUAGUCAUGUCUGAUAAGAACUAAACAAUUUUUACCUAAGGUUUAAUGUAGUCACUUGGAUUUCUAUUUAAUUGAAUUAUGAUAUUCUUUUGA